rnacentral:tRNA from 1 species
AACCUGGUAAUCUCAUGCCACGAUUUCGGCUCGUAAAACGAGAGGGCCCCCUCUCCCAUUUGU